rnacentral:lncRNA from 10 species
GGAAGUGGGUGUUGGAGGCUUUAAGGUAGCUUUAAAUUCGUGUUGUCCUGGGAGCUCGCCCUUUUCGGCUGGAGUCGGGCUUUACGGCGCCGGAUGGCUCUGGACGUGAAGUCUCGGGCAAAGCGUUAUGAGAAGCUGGACUUCCUUGGGGAGGGACAGUUUGCCACCGUUUACAAGGCCAGAGAUAAGAACACCAACCAAAUUGUCGCCAUUAAGAAAAGACAAGGUUUCACUUUGUUGUCCAGUCUGGUAUCAAACUCCUGGCCUUAAGCAAUCCUCCAGCAUCGGCCUCCCAAAGAGCUGGGAUUACAG